rnacentral:lncRNA from 1 species
AGAAAUUCAGGAAAAUGUUCUAUGUGAAGAAAGACAAGGAUGAAGACCAAGUUCACAUCAUGGAGCAUGACCAACUGUCCUUUUCCUCCAUCACUGAGCAGGCGGCCGGCCUGAAGGAGGAGCAGAAGCAAAACGAGCCUUUUGUGGCCUCCCAGUCACCACCCUAUGAGGAUGGCUCUGCAAACCAUUGAGCAUGGGUCACCAGACCCCGGACAUGAGGCAGAGCCUAGACUGUGUUCAUUUUUACGAGAAAGUCAAAGCUAAGAUGAUGUUAUUUUAAGAAAUAUCUACUGUUAACAAUAUUUUAAAAACACGGAACUUUGGAUCCUGGGGGAGUGGGUUUUAAUCUCUGGGCAAAUGAGGUGUGCACCCAUAACUCACAGGCAAUGUGAUCACCUGACAUCAUGCAGCUGUAACUCACAGGCGAUGUCAUCACCUGGCAUCCUGCACCUGUAACUCACAGGUGAUGUCAUCGCCUGGCACCCUGCACCUGUAACUCACAGGUGAUAUUAUCACCUGGCAUCCUGCACCUGUAACUCACAGGUGAUGUCAUCACCUGGCAUCCUGCACUUGUAACUCACAGGUGAUGUCAUCAUCUGGCAUCCUGCACCUGUAACUCACAGGUGAUGUCAUCACCUGGCAUUACACACUGGGGAUGAAUACUUGAAACAGUGUACUGCAGUGGAUGGAGGCAGGUUUUCUUUGUAACUGGGGACUCUGGGUUUGCAUUCCAAU